GCGGAUGCAGAGGGUAGUGACAGAUAAUUUGCACCGAGACCCGAAAGGAGGCUUUGGGAAAAUGAUAUAAAAGGCGGUUGUGGGCUUUUCUUCGAAAAAUCCAGCCUGAGCCAACCCUAAUAGCUCAAAACACUACGACGUCCUUCUCUACCUUUCACGGUCUCCCCUCUCCGUUCCUUCGUUCGUUCUCUGAUUCUGUUUCUUCUGCUCUCUUCUCACUGCUCUAAGAUUUGGGAGAGGGGUUGCGAGUUUCAAUUUUGACCAAAGAGAUUUAUAAUCUGUCGAAACAUUCAUGGGUCGGAAGAAGCCGACUGCUCGCGGCGGUGACGAGGAGAAUCCGCAACCGGCGGGUGGUGGGAAAUCGAAGAAGAAGAACCUGGUGAUCGAAGACGACGAGUAUUCCGUCGGAACUGAGCUGUCCGAGGAGAGUCAGGUCCAGGAAGACAAGGUUGUUGCUCCUCCUAGUAAAGGGAAGAAGGCCAAAAAGGGGGGUUCGAAAGCUGCCAAGGGAGUGGAUGAGGAGUUUGAGGGGGCCGGAGAGGAUGAAGAUGAGGUUCCGCAAGUUGUGUUCACUGGGAAGAAGAAGGGGAAGUCGAAGAAGAGUGGUGGGAAUACGUUCAGCUCGUCGGGUUUCGGGUUGCUUGAGGAUGAGGAUAAGGAUAAGGAUGGGGAGGAUGAAGGUGCAUCUAUGAUUACAUUCACUGGUAAAAAGAAGUCUUCAAAGAAGAAAAGUAAUAGUGUGUUUACUGCAGUCGGUGAAGAUGCUGGGGUUGGGAGUGAAAUUGCAGAUGUAGUUGAGCCCGAACAACCAGCUACCGCUACUAGUAAAAUUGAAAAAAAGAAGAAGAAGAAUGUAAGGACUGCUCAAGAAGAGGAUGAUUUGGAUAAGAUUCUUGCAGAGCUAGGUGAGGUUCCAUCAAAACCUGCUGCUCCUCAGAAAGAGGAGAAAGUUCAACCUGAUGCUGUUGCCCCAGUUGGUGGGUCUGCUGCAAAGGAAGCUGAAGUAGAGACUGUUGAGUCUGCUGCAGCAAAGAAGAAGAAAAAGAAGAAGGAGAAGGAAAAGGAGAAAAAGGCGGCAGCAGCAGCAUCUGUAGAUGUCAAGGAUGAAAAACAAGAACAAGUGAAAAUUGAGCUAGCAAUUGAACCAAAGAAGAAGGAAGUGAAAGGCAAAGCAGCUGAAAAGAAGGUGCCUAAACAUGUCAGGGAGAUGCAAGAGGCCCUUGCUAGGCGACAGGAAGAAGAAGAGAGGAAGAAAAAGGAAGAAGAAGAGAAACUGAAAAAAGAAGAAGAGGAGAGGCUUAAGCAAGAAGAACUUGAGAGGCAAAAGGAGGAGGCAAAGCGGAAGAAAAAAGAGAGGGAAAAGGAGAGGAUCCAAGAGUUGAAGAAGGCAGGUUUAUAUAAGACUCCCAAGCAAAAAGAAGAGGACAGGCGACUACAGCAAAUGAGAGACCAGUUUCUUAAAAAUAAUCCCAAUGCAGUGGAGGGUGUACCUCCUACCACAGAAAACGAAAAACCGGCUAAAAGACCUUUGUAUCAGAAAAAGAAGUCAAAACCAGCACCAAAUCAAGCAAAUGGUGCAGCUACUAUGAAGCCUGUGGAACUCACAGAAGAAAGAAAAGAAGAAAACCAGCAAGUUAAUGUUCCUGAGCUUCACUCUGUGGAACUUGAGAAGGUUGAGGAGCAGGAAUCAGUUGAAGUUGCAGAGAAGCUAUCCGAAGUUUCUGAAUCUGUUAAUGAGAAUGGAGUGGAACAAGAAGAGGAUGAUGAUGAUGAAUGGGAUGCAAAAAGCUGGGAUGAUGAUGCUGUUGUUAACCUUUCAUUCAAAAGCGGGUUUUCUGAUGAAGAGGUCGAACCUGUUGUGAAUAAAGGGAUGAAGCCUGCAGUUUCUGUGCAGAAAACCAUUCCUUCUCAACCAAUAAAGCCUCAUGAGGUUGAGAAUCAGAAAAAACAAUCUGAGGUGGAAGUUGACAAAGGUAAGAAGAAAGAUGCUGCUGCAAAGAAAAAAGCACCAAAUUCAGAUUCUGCCUCUAAAGAGGGUGAAGAUAAUCUUCGCUCUCCCAUUUGCUGCAUUAUGGGCCAUGUUGAUACUGGUAAAACUAAGCUUCUGGAUUGUAUUCGAGGCACAAAUGUUCAGGAAGGUGAGGCCGGAGGUAUUACUCAACAGAUUGGUGCGACAUAUUUUCCUGCAGAAAACAUCCGUGAGAGGACUAAGGAACUGAAAGCUGAUGCAAAGCUGAAGGUCCCAGGUCUAUUGGUCAUUGAUACCCCUGGGCACGAGUCAUUUACAAAUUUAAGGUCGCGGGGUUCAGGUUUAUGCGAUAUUGCAAUUUUGGUUGUUGACAUUAUGCAUGGCUUAGAGCCUCAAACAAUAGAGUCACUCAAUCUCUUGAAAAUGAGGAAUACCGAAUUCAUUGUUGCGUUGAAUAAGGUGGACAGGCUCUAUGGAUGGAAAACCUGCCGCAACCAGCCAAUAGGGAAGGCAAUGAAGCAACAAUCCAAGGAUGUUGUAAAUGAGUACAAUAUGAGGGUUUCUCAGAUUAUCACUCAAUUCAUGGAGCAAGGCUUAAAUACUGAGUUGUACUAUAAAAAUAAAGAAAUGGGAGAAACAUACAGUAUUGUACCUACAAGUGCCAUCAGUGGUGAAGGGAUUCCAGAUUUGUUAUUACUAUUGGUUCAGUGGGCCCAGAAAACCAUGGUUGAAAAACUUACAUACAGCAAUGAAAUUCAGUGUACGGUAUUGGAGGUCAAGGUUAUUGAAGGCCUUGGGACAACAAUUGAUGUUGUGUUGGUUAAUGGUGUGCUUCAUGAAGGAGAUCAAAUAGUGGUUUGCGGCAUGCAGGGACCUAUUGUUACUUCAAUUCGAGCUUUGUUGACACCACAUCCCAUGAAAGAACUUCGUGUCAAGGGAACUUAUCAGCACCAUAGUCAAAUCAAAGCUGCACAAGGUAUCAAGAUCACAGCACAGGGACUUGAACAUGCUAUUGCUGGCACUGCUCUAUAUGUUGUUGGGCCUGGUGACGACUUGGAUGAUAUCAAGGAAACAGCUAUGGAAGAUAUGAAAUCAGUCUUGAAUAGGAUUGACAAGAGUGGUGAGGGAGUUUGUGUUCAAGCAUCUACUCUAGGAUCCUUGGAAGCAUUGCUGGAGUUUCUGAAAACUCCAGAAGUUAAUAUUCCUGUUAGUGGUAUUAGCAUUGGCCCUGUACACAAGAAGGAUGUCAUGAAGGCCAGUGUAAUGCUUGAAAAGAAAAAGGAGUAUGCCACUAUCUUGGCAUUUGAUGUUAAAGUGACACCUGAGGCCCGGGACCUUGCAGAAGAAUUGGGUGUGAAGAUUUUUAUUGCUGACAUAAUCUAUCACUUAUUUGACCAAUUUAAGGCCUAUAUCGACAAUCUCAAAGAGGAAAAGAAGAAGGAAGCAGCUGAUGAAGCUGUUUUUCCGUGUGUGCUCAAGAUUUUACCCAACUGUGUUUUCAACAAAAAGGAUCCAAUUGUCUUGGGUGUUGAUGUUCUUGAAGGCAUUGCAAAGGUAGGGACUCCAAUUUGCAUUCCUCAGAGAGAUUUUAUUGACAUUGGGCGUAUUGCAUCCAUAGAGAAUAAUCACAAACCUGUAGAUGUUGCGAAAAAGGGGCUGAAGGUGGCUAUCAAGAUCGUUGGCACAAAUUCUGAUGAACAGCAAAAGAUGUAUGGAAGGCAUUUUGAAAUUGAAGAUGAACUUGUCAGCCAUAUCUCCAGGAGGUCGAUUGAUGUACUUAAGACAAGCUACAGGGAUGAGCUGUCAAUUGAUGAGUGGAAGCUGGUUGUGAAAUUGAAGAAACUUUUUGAGAUACCAUGAGAGAAGUAAAAUCAUAUUUGAGUUUGUUUUAUACACUCCAGAGGUUUCACUGACAUCUGCAACUAAGAAAGACCCCCAAGGGGGACUACCUUGUGGAACAAUUGCGACCUUAACCUGCACCAAUGCAUUUAGGCACUAAAGAUCAAAUCAGAGCAUAUGUCGAGAGGGAACAAAUGUUCCAGUUUGCGGGAGGAAGUCAAUUUUUCCGGAGUUACAAAUUGGGACUGUUCUAAUUUUUGAUCAUUUGGCCUAUAUUGCGUGUUUUCUGCCCAUGUAUCUUAAACCCUCCCUCCCCCAUUUUGUAUCCUCAAAAACUUUAUUUCUUAAUAGUUCACAUAAUAUCCUUGCUUUUUGCAAUGGAUAAGUCUGUUCUACUUGAGGGGGGAAGAGAAAUCAGUUUAAAGAUUCAUUGAAAGGAAGAAUGGGUU